UCGAUCUGCUGCGGGCAGACAUAGUGGAUAUGUGAAUCGACGCCGCCCGCCGUCAGGAUCUGGCCUUCGCCGGCGAUGAUCUCGGUGCCCGGGCCGAUGACGAUAUCGAUGGCGUCCAUGAUAUCGGGGUUGCCGGCCUUGCCGAUGCCACUGAUGCGCCCGUCCUUGAUCGCGACGUCUGCCUUGACGAUGCCCCACCAGUCCACGAUGAGAGCGUUGGUGAUGACCGUAUCGGCCGCGAUAUCGCUGGCUGCCUGGCUUUGGCCCAUACCGUCAC
rnacentral:sRNA from 1 species